UGAUAAAAUGCGAUUUAAAUUCCUUGUCAGAUCAAUUAGUACGUCAAAUGCUGACGUCAUUCAUGCUCUUCAAGGCUUGAGCGCGAAGUUGCUGCAACUUCGAGCUACAGUUUUGCAGCGUUCCUCUCCUGAUCGGAGAAAGCAGUGGAGUGGAGUUGGUUGGGGUGAUAAUUGUGCGGAUCGUGUUUCUCUCUUCUUGUUGUGAUCUCUGGUCUAAUUUCAGCUGGUUUCAUCUAUGCGUCCGAUUUUGGAGGAUGGCUCAUUCUUCUGCACUCUAGACGCGUUGAGAGAACAAUAAUGAAGGUGUACUAUCGAAAGUUUGCUGGUGAUAGUUCAAUAGGAAUAUGGUUUGUUCGAUUAAGCUGCGGGGGGAAAUGUGAUUGCAGUGGUUGUGAGAUUGUGAUUAAACAUUACUUGGAGUAUAUUAUAUCGUAUGGAGUGCGGAACAUGGAUAACUGGCCAAUAAAAUACCAGGUAAAAGAGACAUCAAGUUUUGACGAAGUGUGGCCAUUGCUUAUCAGACAAACAUUACUACCAACUGAAGACCAAGUGAUAGAAGUUGCCUUGGGAUCAGAAGUUGAUUCAAAGAUGACCAAAGUCAGUGGUCUGUUGAUGGAAAAUGAACAAUGACUAAUGGAAGUCUUUAGGAAGUACAAAGAUUGUUCUCUUGGCAAUACAGGAGAUAACUGCCUUUAUCGAGGCACUUGGAAAACAUUAGUUGCCAAAUGGCCAGGAUUUCAGUCUUACAAACAGGAGCCAUGCUGUUUCAACCCAUCCAAUUUCCACACGAAGAUUGAAAAGCCUGUUAAUGCAUGCUUCUUACUACUUGUAGGUUUCUCAUCCAUUUCAGGUGUCAUGGGAUAAGUCUUUUUUGGAUGCUGUGAACUUGAUGGUUCAUACUGCAUUUCCACCUGUGUUUCAGUGUUAUUUAGUGCUCUCGACAAAGCUUUUAGUAAAGGAUUGUAAUUCAGCAUCCCCAGAUACUUGAUUACUGCAAAGAGGGGAGAAUAUGAAACCUUCUUACAUCUGCUGGAUGGUUUGGCAGAUCUCUCUUUCAUCACCCAUAAUUCGUUAUGAGGAUAAGGACAUGGAGGAGGCAUCAGCAGUUGUAUUCCCUGAUCGUGUUUGGUUGCAGGCACCUGUUGUAGCAUCGAAGAUCAAGUUAGUAUGUAUACUGCCCUUUUGAGUAGACACUUAAUGUGAUACAAACAAGGCUAUAAUGUCUUUCCGGUUCAGCGGCAUCUGGACCGUCCAUUUAUUUCUAACAUUGGAAGAGCUAAUUCUGUCAUCUGGAAAUAUCCAUCUCAAUUCAGGAAGCUGCUAAAAUGAUGUGUAAGGCAGCUGCAUUUUCGGAGCUGUUAACUAUUUCACCAAUUGCCACUCAGUAAGAAGCAUUCACUGUAAGCAACGCAGUAUAUUAGUCCAUUCUUAAUCCUACUUCCAUAUCUAUAUACACUUCUUGAAAAAUUUCUGUUCCCUAAAAGAAUUGGACAUGGUUAGUUCCCUAAAAUUUUAAAAUCUCUAUGAAUGAGUAGUGAAGAAAAACAAUAUGUUGAAGGGGGGCCUUGUUUAGAAUAUCACACAGACCAACUUCUAAUAAGCAGACAAAUUUGGGAAGGAAACUAUGGGGCCAAAGUUUGUCACAUUUGGCAUGUCCAUUUUUAAAAAUCCUUUUCACAAUCGAAUCAUGCUUUUUUGUCUUAGAUUUGUUUUUAUUAUAUUGUAUAAAUAUAUACAGCCUCCCUUUUCUUUUUGUAGGUUAAGUAACCUCCAUUGUUAUUGUCUGACUAGUAGUGUUUUCCCACUUGUGUCAUAUUUGGCCUAAAGGUUUAAGGUCAUUAUUGCAUAAUCUCUAAUAUUCAAAUUUGGCAAUUGUGGUGUUUGAUUCAUAAUUAACCACUUAAUCACCUGAUCAUUUUAUUUAAUAAGGUGAAUUCUUGAUGAAAAUAAUUCCCUUUCCGCCAGAGUUAGUUUUGAAGCCCAUCAUUACUGCUCUGCCUUACUAUUUCAUUAUUAUUGUUAAGUUUAUUUUAAAUAAAAAUGUGAAAAAUUCUGUCUGAAAGAAGACAAAACUGGGAAGGUGAAGUUGUCGCUGUCUUCUAAAAAAGUUCAGAGUUGGAUAAUGAAAGAAAAUGACAUCCCUGGAAAUUUGGCACACCAGAAAAUGACCCAGUGUGGUUUUUAAUCUUUUACUAUCUUGGUUAAUUGGUAAAAUACAAUCACUUGGUUUGAAAUUUUAAUAAUUUGAUGGUGUCGUUUUAAGCUGAACAAAGUGACAGACAAGACACACAUGUGAGGACACCAUUCCUUACCCCAAUUUCUGCUUGGUUCGAACUUCAAAAUUAGGAUACCCCACUUUCUUAUAUAUUCAUUUAUUUUUUAUAAUAGAUAAUCAUUUUGUUUGGUAGGUAGGUGAGUUUUCAGUUACAUGUGUAGCUUCAAGUAUUUCUCAAUUUUCAUUUAAUAAUAAAUUAUCCUUUUCUCGUAUACAUAUAUAUAUAUAUAUGCAUUUUUUAAUAAUAAAUAAUAAUAAUAAUAUCCUUGUCCUAUUUUCAUUUUUAUUUCCCCAGACACGUGUGUUGUUCUGUAGACUUGUUUAUGGCUAUGUAAAGGCCAACUCAUCUCCAUAAAACUUAUCCUUUUUUA